GUCUUCCAGAGUGAGACACAGGAUGCAGUGUAGUUUGCACCAUCAUGAUCACAAAUGAACUCACUAACUUCAGUAAGCAUGUGCCAGCAUGGCAUGUUGCUUACAUUGCCAACCCAUUGACAGUAGCAUGGCAUGUUGCUUUCACUGCCAACCCAUUACCAGUAGCAUGCCAUGUAAUGGCUCAAUCAAAUCAACAGAACUAAAAACACUGCCAAUGGAUUAGGAUCGGCAUAAGGUCUUUCUAAAUUUCCUUAUCUCUUCGCUGAAUUAGUUCAAGAAGAAACUGACAUCUAGAGAAGAGUAGGUGCUAGCAGCUUUAGUUAUGCUAAAAAAACUAGCCAAUAUUUUGUCUUAUAGAGUUUUGACAAAUUAAGAAUGAGAGUUUAAAUACCCAAGAAAACAAGAUCAAACAGAGAUGACAGUUACCAAAGGACUAAAACUUCAAAAAAGAAGAGAUUAGGAUUUUCCACGAAGGACUAAAAGCUUUAACACAGAGAUACUAGUCAUCAGAGGACUAUUCUAGUAGAAACAUUCUGUUCAAAGUGCCUUAGAUUGAUUACUCAAGGAUGGGACAACAGGUGCUUGCAUACUACUGUAGCCAGCUAAUGUCGUGGCAUCGAAAAGACAGUUACCAAAGGACUAAAACUUCAAAAAAGAAGAGAUUAGGAUUUUCCACGAAGGACUAAAAGCUUUAACACAGAGAUACUAGUCAUCAGAGGACUAUUCUAGUAGAAACAUUCUGUUCAAAGUGCCUUAGAUUGAUUACUCAAGGAUGGGACAACAGGUGCUUGCAUACUACUGUAGCCAGCUAAUGUCGUGGCAUCGAAAAGACUACUAUUGUAGCAGCAAGUUGUCUAUUAUCAUUUUUAGUGUCAUAUAGUUUAUUGCACAAAUACAAGGAAAUACAAGGGCCACUAUGAAUAAAGAGUGAUCAAACAAAGAAAACAAAGAAUAUUCUAAAAAGGAAGAGAAUGAAUAAGAUGAAUAAAAAAACAUGGUCUUGACUAAUAAGCAAAUAACACAAUUUUAAUGUAAGUGCAGAUAUCAUACAAGGCAAUUCAAUUAUAGCAUAGGAUAACUAUAGGUAGCAUCUACAUAAGACAACAGUCUUAAGUCAUGUGUUUCCUAAUUUUUUAUAUUAAUUGAUGAAAUUUUGUCCUUUCUGUAGUGGUUACAUUAAAGAGUAUCUAGUCUUAUUUGGAAUUGUAUUUCUUACUAGGGUCAUAUUUAAGGUAUUAAUUAGAUUAUGAUGCCAAGAAUUGUGUCAUGAGUUUCUGGCAACAUCAGUAUUGUUUGCUGGAUGAGUCAGGAGAGCCAACCACAAGACAAAGAAAUAGGAGGAAAGAAAAGAAAUGGCUGAUGCCUAAACCCCCCUUCUCCUCUAGGUUAGCCUUUCACUAGUAGGAGCAGAACUUUGUAGGAACUUGGUAUCUUUAAUAUUUAUGAACUACAAAAAAGUUGUGCAUGUAGACAGAUGUGGUCUACACAAGCCUUGAAUCAUCCAUUUUGCCUCAUGUGGGGUAAGUCCAACAAAUAAAUGGUGAUUUACAAUUUACUAAAGGGUUAUAUUCAGCCUCUUGUAUGCUGAUAGUAGCGAUUCUUCUCUAUCAGUGAAAAGGCACCUUUUUCUUUCUCAUUUUUGGUCCACUCUCUACCUCUCUCCUUUGUCUGAAUAUAAAAAAUGAUUUAUUUGUUUUACAUUAAUUUCCUAGAAGUGAUCCUUGUAAUCAACCAUUUAUUGUCUAUUGUAAGAAUGGAGCUUGAUCUUGAAUUCAUUAAUAUUUUCUAGCAAACAAAAACCUAGCAGUGAUUCUAAAGGUUCAAGAAGCAAUAGAUUUUCUUCCAAAAGAGUAAGACAACCAUUUCAUCAUUGUUGAAUAUCAUAUACUAGGAAUGCAUCAGAUUUACA
rnacentral:lncRNA from 1 species